AUUGAACGCUGGCGGAAUGCUUUACACAUGCAAGUCGAACGGUAACAGGUCUUCGGAUGCUGACGAGUGGCGAACGGGUGAGUAAUAUAUCGGAACGUGCCCAGUCGUGGGGGAUAACGUAGCGAAAGUUACGCUAAUACCGCAUACGAUCUACGGAUGAAAGCGGGGGAUCGCAAGACCUCGCGCGAUUGGAGCGGCCGAUAUCAGAUUAGGUAGUUGGUGGGGUAAAGGCUCACCAAGCCAACGAUCUGUAGCUGGUCUGAGAGGACGACCAGCCACACUGGAACUGAGACACGGUCCAGACUCCUACGGGAGGCAGCAGUGGGGAAUUUUGGACAAUGGACGCAAGUCUGAUCCAGCCAUUCCGCGUGCAGGAUGAAGGCCCUCGGGUUGUAAACUGCUUUUGUACGGAACGAAAAGGUCUCUAUUAAUACUGGGGGCUCAUGACGGUACCGUAAGAAUAAGCACCGGCUAACUACGUGCCAGCCGCCGCAGUAAAAC
rnacentral:rRNA from 1 species